rnacentral:rRNA from 1 species
UACAGAGGAGCCAAGCGUUGUCCGGAUUGACUGGGCGUAAAGCGCACGCAGGCGGUCGCGCGCGUGGGGUGUGAAAUCUGGCCGCUUAACGGCCAGGCGCCAUCCCAUACGGCGCGACUGGAGGGAUGCAGAGGUCGAUGGAAUUGCCGGUGUAGUGGUGAAAUGCGUAGAGAUCGGCAGGAACACCCAGGGGGAAACCAGUCGACUGGGCAUCUACUGACGCUGAGGUGCGAGAGCGUGGGGAGCGAACAGG